rnacentral:rRNA from 1 species
CAGUAGCCGCGGGAAUACGGAGGGUGCAAGCGUUAAUCGGAAUUACUGGGCGUAAAGCGCACGCAGGCGGUUUGUUAAGUCAGAUGUGAAAUCCCCGAGCUUAACUUGGGAAUGGCAGUGGAUACUGGCAAGCUAGAGUGUGUCGGAGGAUGGUGGAAUUCCCGGUGUAGCGGUGAAAUGCGUAGAGAUCGGGAGGAAUAUCAGUGGCGAAGGCGGCCAUCUGGGACAACACUGACGCUGAGGCACGAAAGCGUGGGGAGCAAACAGGAUUAGAUACCCGCGUAGUCCCUGUCUCUUAUAC